GACGAACGCUGGCGGCGUGCUUAACACAUGCAAGUCGAACGCUGAAGCUCAGCUUGCGGGGUGGAUGAGUGGCGAACGGGUGAGUAACACGUGAGUAACCUGCCCUCUUCUUUGGGAUAACGCCCGGAAACGGGCGCUAAUACUGGAUAUUCACUGAUUCUCGCAUGGGGGUUGGUGGAAAGGAUUUUUCCGGUGGGGGAUGGGCUCGCGGGCUAUCAGCUUGUUGGUGGGUUGAUGGACUACCAAGUCUUUGACGGGUCGCUGGCGUGGGAGGGUGACCGGUCACCUUGGACCUGGGCCACGGUCCAGCCUCAUUCGGCAGGCAGGAGUGGGGCGUAUUGCACGAUGGGCGGACGGCUGAUGCCGCGACGACGCGUGAGGGAUGGAGGACUUCGGGUUGCAAUCCUCAUUCGCUCAUGGUCAAGCCGCAGAUUUGGGUUGUGGUGAGGGUAGUGGGUAAAGAAGCGCCGGCUAACUACGUG
rnacentral:rRNA from 1 species